UAUUUAUGUUUUACAUAUGUACUUGGAAAUCAAAACUGGUGAGGAUAAUUGACGUGAACACCAACUAGUUAAUUGUACUAGCAACCUGGAAAAUGGGUUAAACUGUUAAUUUUUAGCAAUUUAUAAGAUCCGUGAAAUUUAAGGUCAUAUGAAAUGAAAGUUGCUUAAAAUAGUCUUUAGAAAUUUGUAAGCAAUAAAUUUAACUUUUUUUAUUAUGUCUGUCCAAAUUGUAGCAAAAGGUUGGAGAACAACUAAUUUGACAGCUGACUGACACGAAUAUUAAAGCGCACAUAAGCUCUAAAUUUGAAGGCAACUACACACGCCACAAUUUGAGUACAAUAUAUUAUAUUUGCUCGAAGUACGUCGCCGACACUCCCAUGGGUGUCACCAAAAAAAUUACUUUAUAGGCCAAGAGCGAAAUAAUGAAAUUCCAACACAAUUCCUGGAAAGGCUCCAAAUUAAUCACGUUUACCGGACAAUGUGUUCACACAAAAUUCUUGUUGUUUUUGCUAUAGAUACAAGCAGCAAGAGAGGCAGGUCAGCUAGUAAGGGUCGCACCUAUUACGCAUGAAUAAUGAAAAGCAAACAGUAACAUGUUAACGAAGGCAAAGGAAAGACACGAAAGAUGAAAAAUUAUACCGGAGACGGUGACCUCUCACAAGGAGGAAAGUGUCGGAAUUUUUUAGACUGCUCCAGUAUCGUGUAUAACAGCACUGAAUAAUGCAAAUCAAUUUAGGGGAUUGUGACAACAUCGUAUGUCAAGGUCAACCAAGGUCAACCACGUGAAUAGUUCAUCCUUUCAAGCCAACUGAAGUGUGAAAUGUGUGAGACGGCUGCACUUUUGUUUUGUGUGAUCCAAUACACUUGAAGGAAUAAGUACAUUAGCUGUUUAAAUCUGGGCUAACAAAACAUACUGCCUCAUAUCGUAGACAUUUUUGGAUAAUAUGAUACAUAUUAGCUUUGUAUAAGUACAUAUGUAUGUAACCAAUAAAACAGGAAUCAGAAGACCUUGCAUAUAGGUUAAAGUGAAAUUGAUUGUGAUAUUUAUAUGAUACUAGUACAAACUUGAUAAGCGUGAAAUGACCCAACAGUUAAACUUAUUUAAAUAAAAUUGCAAAACUCAA